GGACACAUAUUCUUUAUGUUUGACUGAAAAUUUCGGAGAAAAGGAGGAAAUCAGGGAAGAACACUUGAUGAAAUUAUGCAUCAUGUUGACUCAAGUCAUCUGAUGUAACACUUGUUUGCACUGCAGUGCUUCAGGGUCUUCCAAUCCUCUUGGGGAUGACCCAGAGUAAUUUUUCAGGAUGAGUUUCGAUUCAGAUGUAGAUGCAGGCUUCAGCGACUUAGAUGUUGGACUGCUCACAGUUUUACCUGAAGGCAAGCCUGCCAAACGUUCACAUGCCCUCAACGUGGAUGCAAUGGAGGGA